rnacentral:rRNA from 1 species
AGAGCGAACGCUGGCGGCAGGCCUAACACAUGCAAGUCGAGCGCGUGUAGCAAUACACGAGCGGCAGACGGGAGAGUAACACGUGGGAACGCGCCCUUCGGUUCGGAAUAACUCAGGGAAACUUGAGCUAAUACCGGAUACGCCCUUACGGGGAAAGAUUUAUUGCCGAAGGAACGGCCCGCGUCCGAUUAGCUAGUUGGUGAGGUAACGGCUCACCAAGGCGACGAUCGGUAGCUGGUCUGAGAGGAUGACCAGCCUCACUGGGACUGAGACACGGCCCAGACUCCUACGGGAGGCAGCAGUGGGGAAUAUGGACAAUGGGCGCAAGCCUGAUCCAGCCAUGCCGCGUGGAUGAUGAAGGCCUUAGGGUUGUAAAGUCCUUUUAACGGGGAAGAUAAUGACGGUACCGUAGAAUAAGCCCCGGCUAACGUUCGUGCCAGCAGCCGC